AGCAGCCGCGGUAAUUCCAGCUCCAAUAGCGUAUAUUAAAGUUGUUGCAGUUAAAAAGCUCGUAGUUGAAUUUCGGGAUCAAUAUGUCGGUCGUGCCUUCGGUACGUACUGGUAUCAUUGGUUUCUCCCUUCUGACAAAUCAUGAUGUCAUUAAUUUGGUGUUAUGGGGAGUUAGGACUGUUACUUUGAAAAAAUUAGAGUGUUUAAAGCAGGCAUUAGCUUGAAUACAUUAGCAUGGAAUAAUGAAAUAGGACGUUUGACCCUAUUUUGUUGGUUUCUAGGAUCGACGUAAUGAUUAAUAGGGAUAGUUGGGGGCAUUAGUAUUCAAUUGUCAGAGGUGAAAUUCUUGGAUUUAUUGAAGACUAACUACUGCGAAAGCAUUUGCCAAGGAUGUUUUCAUUAAUCAAGAACGAAAGUUAGGGGAUCGAAGACGAUCAGAUACCGUCGUAGUCUUAACCAUAAACUAUGCCGACUAGGGAUCGGAUGAUGUUAAUUUUUUAAUGACUCA
rnacentral:rRNA from 1 species